rnacentral:rRNA from 1 species
CCUACGGGAGGCAGCAGUGGGGGAUAUUGCACAAUGGGGGGAACCCUGAUGCCGCGACGCCGCGUGGGUGAAGAAGCGCCUCGGCGCGUAAAGCCCUGUCAGCAGGGAAGAAAAUGACGGUACCUGAAGAAGAAGCCCCGGCUAAAUACGUGCCAGCAGCCGCGGUAAUACGUAGGGGGCAAGCGUUAUCCGGAUGUACUGGGUGUAAAGGGGGCGCAGACGGCGAUGCAAGCCAGGAGUGAAAGCCCGGGGCCCAACCCCGGGACGGCUCUUGGAACGGCGUGGCUGGAGGGCAGGAGGGGCAGGCGGAAUUCCUGGUGUAGCGGUGAAAUGCGUAGAUAUCAGGAGGAACACCGGUGGCGAAGGCGGCCUGCUGGACUGCAACUGACGUUGAGGCCCGAAAGCGUGGGGAGCAAACAGGAUUAGAUACCCUUGUAGUC